UACGUAGGUGGCAAGCGUUGUCCGGAUUUACUGGGCGUAAAGAGCGCGCAGGCGGUCGUUUCAAGUCGCGUGUGAAAGCCCCCGGCUCAACUGGGGAGGGUCACGCGAUACUGAUCGACUGGAAGGCAGGAGAGGGUAGUGGAAUUCCCGGUGUAGUGGUGAAAUGCGUAGAUAUCGGGAGGAACACCAGUGGCGAAGGCGACUACCUGGCCUGUU
rnacentral:rRNA from 1 species